GGUUCGAUUCUGGCUCAGACAGACGCUGGCGGGAUGCUUUACACAUGCAAGUCGAACGGCAGCACGGACUUCGGUCUGGUGGCGAGUGGCGAACGGGUGAGUAAUGCUUAUCGGGACGUGCCUAGUAGCGGGGGAUAACUACGCCAGCGUAGCUGUGCCACCGCGCUCUCGAAGCGGGGACCUUCGGGCGGCCUCGCACUUUGUGGAAGCGGCCGAUAUCGGAUUAGCCAGUUGGUGGGGGCCAACGGCUCGCAAGGGGCGGCGACGAUCAUCGUGGUUUGAGAGGACGACAGCCACACUGGGACUGAGACGCAUUGAACUCCUACGGGAGGCAGCAGUGGGGAAUUUUGGACAAUGGGGAAACCCUGAUUAUCAUCCGCGUGUGCGAUGAAGGCCUUCGGGUUGUAAAGCACUUUUGGCAGGAAAACGGCGCAGGAUAAUACCCCGUGCAACUGACCACACCUGCAGAAUAAGCACCGGCUAACUACGUGCCAGCAGCCGCGGUAAUACGUAGGGUGCAAAGCGUUAAUCGGAGUACUGGGCGUAAAGCGUGCGCAGGCGGUUCGGAAGAAGGUGAAAUCCCAGAGCUUAACUUUGGAACUGCAUUUUUAACUACCGAGCUAGGAAAUUAUUAUUAAGGAGGUGGAAUUCCGCGAUGUAGCAGUGAAAUGCGUAGAUAUGCGGAGGAGAGAACACCGAUGGCGAAGGCAGCCUGGGAUAACACUGACUUUCUCAUGCACACAUGGCGUGGGGAGCAAACAGGAUUAGAUACCCUGGUAGUCCACGCCCUAAACGAUGUCAACUAGCUGUUGUUGGGGCCUUCGGGCCUUGGUAGCGCAACUAACGCGUGAAGUUGACCGCCUGGGAAGUACGGUCGCAAGAUUAAACUCAAAGGAACGGCGGGGACCCGCACAAGCGGUGGAUGAUGUGGAUUAAUUCGAUGCAACGCGAAAAACCAACACCUACCGCUUGACAUGUCUGAAUCAAGAGAUUUGGGAGUGCUCGCAAGAGAACCGGAACACAGGUGCUGCAUGGCUGUCGUCAGCUCGUGUCGUGAGAUGUUGGGUUAAGUCCCGCAACGAGCGCAACCCUUGUCAUUAGUUGCUACGAGGCGCCUCGUAGGACUGCCGGUGACAAACCGGAGGAGGGUGGGGAUGACAUCAGAAUCCCAUGGCCCAUAUGGUGGGGGCUUCACACGUCAUACAAUGGUCGGGACAGAGGAAUUCGCUAACCCGCGAGGAGCUGACCAGAAACCCGAUCGUAGUCCGGAUCAUGAUCUGCAACUCGACUGCGUGAAGUCAGAAUCGCUGGCAAUCGCGGAUCAGCAUGUCGCGGUGAAUACGUUCCGGGUCUUGUACACACCGCCCGUCACACCGUGGGGUGGGUUUUACCGAAGUAGUUAGCCUAACCGCCGGAGGGCGAUUACCACGGUAGGAUUCAUGACUGGGGUGAAGUCGUAACAAGGUAACUCUGUUACUGAUACUCAG
rnacentral:rRNA from 1 species